rnacentral:rRNA from 1 species
CACGUAGGGUGCGAGCGUUGUCCGGAAUUAUUGGGCGUAAAGAGCUCGUAGGCGGUCUGUCGCGUCGGUCGUGAAAACCUGCAGCUUAACUGUGGGCUUGCGGUCGAUACGGGCAUGACUGGAGUUCGGCAGGGGAGACUGGAAUUCCUGGUGUAGCGGUGAAAUGCGCAGAUAUCAGGAGGAACACCGGUGGCGAAGGCGGUUCUCUGGGCAUGUCCUGACGCUGAGGAGCGAAAGUGCGGGGAGCGAACAGG